rnacentral:rRNA from 1 species
UUCGCGGCCUAUCAGCUUGUUGGUGAGGUAACGGCUCACCAAGGCGACGACGGGUAGCCGGCCUGAGAGGGUGACCGGCCACACUGGGACUGAGACACGGCCCAGACUCCUACGGGAGGCAGCAGUGGGGAAUAUUGCACAAUGGGCGCAAGCCUGAUGCAGCAACGCCGCGUGAGGGACGACGGCCUUCGGGUUGUAAACCUCUUUUAGUAGGGAAGAAGCGAAAGUGACGGUACCUGCAGAAAAAGCACCGGCUAACUACGUGCCAGCAGCCGCGGUAAUACGUAGGGUGCAAGCGUUGUCCGGAAUUAUUGGGCGUAAAGAGCUCGUAGGCGGUCUGUCGCGUCUGCUGUGAAAACCCGAGGCUCAACCUCGGGCCUGCAGUGGGUACGGGCAGACUAGAGUGCGGUAGGGGAGAUUGGAAUUCCUGGUGUAGCGGUGGAAUGCGCAGAUAUCAGGAGGAACACCGAUGGCGAAGGCAGAUCUCUGGGCCGUAACUGACGCUGAGGAGCGAAAGCGUGGGGAGCGAACAGGAUUAGAUACCCUGGUAGUCCACGCCGUAAACGUUGGGCGCUAGAUGUGGGGACCAUUCCACGGUUUCCGUGUCGCAGCUAACGCAUUAAGCGCCCC